rnacentral:rRNA from 1 species
AUUGAACGCUGGCGGCAGGCCUAACACAUGCAAGUCGAACGGUAACAGGAAGAAGCUUGCUUCUUUGCUGACGAGUGGCGGACGGGUGAGUAAUGUCUGGGAAACUGCCUGAUGGAGGGGGAUAACUACUGGAAACGGUAGCUAAUACCGCAUAACGUCGCAAGACCAAAGAGGGGGACCUUCGGGCCUCUUGCCAUCGGAUGUGCCCAGAUGGGAUUAGCUAGUAGGUGGGGUAACGGCUCACCUAGGCGACGAUCCCUAGCUGGUCUGAGAGGAUGACUAGCCACAUGGGAAGUGAGACACGGUCGAGACUCCUACGGGAGGCAGCAGUGGGGAAUAUUGCACAAUGGGCGCAAGCGUGAUACAGCAAUGCCGCGUGUAUGAUGAAGGCGUACGGGUGGUAAAGUACUGUCAGCGGGGAGGAAGGGAGUAACGUUAACACCUGUGCUCAUUGACGUUACCGGCAGAAGAAGCACCGGCUAACUCCGUG